GCGUGGCCAAAAAAAAAGAAACUCUGUAGGAACCGUGCAUGUCAAGAACCACGGCUACAGGCUCCUCGGUAGUGUAUGUAGCCUGUUGCCUGUACUGGUUGCCUUAAGGGACCUUGGAGACAGCC
rnacentral:snoRNA from 1 species